GAGCCCACUCACAGCCCCCAGUGGUGGAAAGCCAAGCUUCCCUCUGCUGUCCCUGCUGCCUGUAGAUCACACAAGAGGCACCAUAUGAGACUUAGCAUCCCACUGCCCUUAGCCCACACAAGAGGUGCCAAGCCACCCAUAGCCUGCACAAGGAGCACCUGGUCUCCUGUAGCCUGAGCAAGUGGCUUCUCACCACACUUAGCCUGCAUCAGAGGUGCCCUGCCCUCUUAGAGCCACAGGUGCACACCUUAUGUCAAGAGUUCCUUGCCCUUUUUGGAGGUUUAAGUUCUUCUGCCAGUGUUCAGUAGAUAUUCUGUGUGAAUUGUUUCACAUGUAGAUGUGUUUGUGGGAGAAGGUGUGCAUGAUGUCUUACUUCUCUACCAUCUUGAUCCUUCUUCUCAAAAAUUACUUUUCUAUUCUGAUGUCUCAUAUGCCUAGAUAGAGGCAAAUGUAAUUGAUGUUAAGAAGUCUUUAUUUGAUUAGAUUUUGAAAAAAAUAUUUAAGUCUUUCGGGAAAAUAUUUAGUUGUCAUUUGUCAAUUUAAAUAUCAAAGCAAAAUCAGGAGUUCCCAUUGUGGCUCAGCAGCAAUGAACCCAACCAGUAUCCAUGAUGAUAUGGGUUCAAUCCUUGGCCCUAUUCAGUGGGUUAAGGAUCUAGCAUUGCUAUCAGCUAUGGUGUAGAUUGUAGAUGUGGCUCAGAUCUGGCAUUGCUAUGGCUGUGGUGUAGGCCAGUGGCUACAGCUCCAAUUUGACUCCUAGCCUGGGAACUUCCAUAUGCUUCAGGUACGGCCCUAAAAAUAAACAAAGAAACAAAUAAAUACAAAAGUAAAGUCAGUGUUUUUUCAGUAAUCUGUACAAAAUUUGUAAUUUUGAUAUAGUAGCCUAUAUGCAGGUUGGCCUGAAAACUGUUGCUGAUUGUAAGUAAUUCAGACUUUACAGGUCAUACAGUGAUGUAUUUCCUUAGUUCCUGGGAUCUGGCACUCUAACAAACUCUUAGAGCUGAAGCAGGAGCAGCCGUUUUUAUUAAAUAAAAAAAAAUCAUGUUAUACAAAGAACAAAACAAUUGCUUAGACAAGGGAUGUAAGAAUUUAGUUAUAUCUGACUCAAAUGAAAAUGAAAUAAGCUAAUUUUGAUUCAAAGCUGCAGACUUUGCCUAGUUGUGAAAUGAAGGGUUUGCGAGGUUGUUGUCACGGCAACCAGCACUGAGGGAGCUAAGCUUUGAGUGUCCUUGUCCUCCAUCACUGUCAGGUUAGAGAUCCCCUAUCUGGAGGAAUGGUGUUGGCGAGUUGGUAGGAAGAAAUCACCACUUACCAACAUUAAAUCUGUCCUUCAUAUAUUUACUCAUAGUUAUGAUUCUUACGUUACUAUCAGGUAACAAAUUGGAACUACUUCCAAUAGAAAACCAAAAGCUUUGGGGGUCUUUUUCUGCCUUUUAAAAAUACUUUGUUAGGGAUUUUCUCAAUUCAUUGCAUUUCUACACAGACCUCUGUUUACUUUGGGGAGCAAUUAGUUCUGGUCUUGCAGAAAUACAGUAAGGUGAUUUCCCUUCACUUACCUCUCUAUCCCUGACUUAGUUAUUCCCUUAACAGCACCAUAUAGUCAACAUGUUAAGAAAAAUUGAUGGCACAAUGAUUUUCUCAAGGUAGGGAAGAGAUUGAGGGGAUAUACAAUCUCUUUCAGAAGGUUUUCCGGAAGCUCCUUUAAGUAAAGAUGAGACCUACUGCUGUUGAAAGUCUCUUUAAGGAGCUGGCAGUAGUUUCUGAAACAGAAUUUUCAUUGAGAAUUUUCCAAAUCUUUCUCCCUACUUCUCUUCUACUAUUCACCUCCUUUUCUCCAUCAUCGCAAGAGUAAGUAUAAAAUGAACUCCUGUAGAUUGUUUGUUAACAUGGCUUAAUGACAGUUAACAUAGGAAAGAAUGUUGGAAACAUUUACAAAGUGGAAUAAUAGCAAUAAUAAUUUCCAAGCCUUUAAUGUGAGAUUUUACGCUAAACACUUUAUAUACUAAUAGUUCUUUUAAUUCUCAGUAAUCUAAUAAAAGAUAUUUUCAUCUUCAUAUAAAAAUGAAGAAAUUGAGUCUUAGGAAGGUUUAACAACUUGUUACACAGUCCAUAACUAGCAUGCAUCAGAACUAGAACUCAAAGAUUUUUUUGGCUCCCAAGUCUGUGGUUGUUAACUACUCUAUUGCCUUCAAGUCUUUAGGAAGUUGUUAGAUUGAUGUUAAUGUGACACUUUUCUUCUGAAUAACUGUCUAUUUCUUAUUAGACAAAAAUCAUAUCAAAUACCUACUGUUAUCACUGAUAAAGAGUCAGAUUUUCAUUUCAGAGGCUUUCUCUCACUCAAUGUAAGGAAGGAUCGUUCCUGGAAGUAGUGUCUCAUGUAGUAGGGAAAGGGCACUGAUUGGAAACCUAUUAAAACCACAUUUGAAUAACAAGGAAGGGGAGGAAGGAAAACUCUCAGAUAUGUUUAUUAAAAAUAUAAAGUCCAUAUAUUAAAAUAUCAUAGACAAUGCAGAUUAUCUGAAGAAUUAUAUUACUAUCAAAGUUUUGGCAAUAGAUUUCCAAUGGUCUUGGUCUCGAUAUCUUGGGGAAACUGUCUCAUCAGAUGUUGUUUGUUUUAAUUCUUGAUAACCUUUACUUUCAAUUUAUCAGAUAAUGUGCAGGUCUACUCAGGGCUGAGUGCUUUCUUUACAUGUGUCAUGUGAAUCCAAGAGUCUAUUCCUUGGAGUUUGGUGGUAUAAAUACUGAUUAGCAGUACUUGAUAUGGGCCUUCCCAAUGAGGUUGGAGAGAGUUCUUCUAGAGAUAUCUUUUCAAGCAGAUGAAAUUUCCAGAUUGCAAGGGUGAUACUUAACAUUUUUGUCUUCUGAGGGCACACCGUGAAAAGACUGCUCUAUCAAAACAAGGCUACUUUUAAUAGAAGCAGUUACACCUUUGCAAUAUUGGAGUAUGUCUCUUUUUAUCAGUUGUGGGUCCAAAGAAGCAUGAGGUAAGGCAUUGGAUGUCCUAUGACUAUAUGAAGGGAUGAGAGCUUAUGAGUUCCAAAAGGGCUGAUCUGAGAUUUAGGACCAAGGGCCAAGGUUUUUGGAAGACCUCUACAAAUUUCCCACUUGAGUCAUAAUAAUACUGUUAGCAUAUUAACUCAGAGAAUUGAGAAUGCUAAGAACAAUGAAGGUAUUGUAAAAUCAGCCAAACAUCGAAGACUUAUUGAGGCACCUGGACAGUAGAAUGGGUUCCUCCAUCAUUACGAAGUUGAAGAAGAGUUCCCCAGAUAAAGGUAAUCUUUCCUAAAAGGGGUUUAGCUACAGAAGAGAAAGUAGCCUGUCUUUAAGAGAAGGCUUUAGUCCAGUAUGAAAACAUUCAUACCAUGACUAAAAUAUAUUUACAUCCAUGAGACAGAGGAAGCUGUUUGAAAUCCAUCUUCUAGAUCUUGAAUGGUCCAUUAGCUGGUUUAUCAUGUCUGGGAGCAGUAAUGAACAGGCUUCCCUGGGUUAUACUUUGAACAAGUGAGGAAGGUACUUUUUGUAAUCUUGUUAAUGUUUCCUCACCAAUAUUCAUUCAAGAAAGCUAGCAUUUUUUUGUCAGUAACCAAGUGGUUUAAUACAUGUGCAAUGGUAAAGAGUGGGAAUUUUAAAGUCUCCAGUAGGAUGGGGUUAUUUGUUCCAAACCUGAAUUGUUUUUUGUUUUUGUUUUUUUUUUAAUCAAACUAACAAUCAUGAAAUUUCCAAUCUUGUUUUUCCUUUUCUGAGGCCAUUUGUUGGGCCUUUCUAGCCAGUUUUACUAAGUUAUCAUUUGGGGAAAUAUCCCUUUGUAGCAGGACAGAGGUUUGGCUGCUAUUAAUUCUUUAAUCACAGCAUUUCUUGCAGAAAUACAGUAAGGUGAUUUCCCUUCACUUCUAGAGAGUAGAGUUUAGAAUGUCCCGAAAUUUUAAUAAUAGCUUAAGUAGCAGGUAAAAGUAUUGCUUUAAAUAGGGAUAACUGUUAAUUUUAUUUCUACUGGAAGUUGGGAAGACUGUUGCUUCCACAACAUUCCAAAAUCAUGGGGUGCUCCAAAAUCAUAUCUACCGUCAGUAUACAUAUUGGCAGUUUUGUCCUUAACUAAAGUACAAGCCCACUUAAGAGCAUAUAAUUCAGCAUGUUGGACUGAAGUAGCCAUAGGUAAAGAUAGAGCCUCAACUAUAUCAAAAGAAGUUGUAACACCAAGCAUGCCCAGCAUAAUAUUCAUCAUUGUCACCUUAUAAUAAGAACCACCAGUGAACAAUGAGAAGUCAGCAAUACCCAAUUAAAUUUCUUGUAGAUCAUUAUGAGGAGCCAAGGGAUGGUCUUUCAGUGCUAAGUAGUCAUGACAUACUUUGUUGGUAACAGACAAAGCAGGGGAGAGAAGCAUGCUUAGGUUAUUACAAAGUAUAAGACUUAUGUAUGUGGCAGUUAACAAAAGGACUUCAUAGGAGGUGAGGUGACUACCUGGAGAUGUUGUGAUGAGAAUUCAGGAGAGCUUCUACUGAAUGAGGUACAAAAAUGGCUAGA
rnacentral:lncRNA from 1 species